GAUGAACGCUGGCGGCGUGCCUAAUACAUGCAAGUAGAACGCUGAAGGAGGAGCUUGCUCUUCUGGAUGAGUUGCGAACGGGUGAGUAACGCGUAGGUAACCUGCCUGGUAGCGGGGGAUAACUAUUGGAAACGAUAGCUAAUACCGCAUGACAACAGUUAUUGCAUGAUAACUGUUUAAAAGGGGCAACUGCUCCACUACCAGAUGGACCUGCGUUGUAUUAGCUAGUUGGGGAGGUAACGGCUCACCAAGGCGACGAUACAUAGCCGACCUGAGAGGGUGAUCGGCCACACUGGGACUGAGACACGGCCCAGACUCCUACGGGAGGCAGCAGUAGGGAAUCUUCGGCAAUGGACGGAAGUCUGACCGAGCAACGCCGCGUGAGGGAAGAAGGGUUUCGGAUCGUAAAGCUCUGUUGUAAGAGAAGAACGAGUGUGAGAGUGGAAAGUUCACACUGUGACGGUAUCUUAACAGAAAGGGACGGCUAACUACGUG
rnacentral:rRNA from 1 species